AGGCGGUAUAGCUAAGUGGUAAGGCAGAGGAUUGCAAAUCCUUUAUCCCCAGUUCGAAUCUGGGUACCGCCUACCA
rnacentral:tRNA from 1 species